rnacentral:rRNA from 1 species
UUUGCCUACGGGGGGCAGCAGUGGGGAAUAUUGGGCAAUGGAGGAAACUCUGACCCAGCAAUGCCGCGUGAAUGAAGAAGGUCUUCGGAUUGUAAAGUUCUUUAGUCAGGGAAGAAGUCAAUGACGGUACCUGAAGAAUAAGCUCCGGCUAACUACGUGCCAGCAGCCGCGGUAAUACGUAGGGAGCAAACGUUGUUCGGAAUGACUGGGCGUAAAGGGUGCGUAGGCGGUUGUACAAGUUAGAAGUGAAAUACCACGGGCUUAAGUCGGGUGCUGCUUCUAAAACUGUAUGCCUUGAGGGCAGG